GAGUUUGAUCAUGGCUCAGAUUGAACGCUGGCGGCAUGCCUUACACAUGCAAGUCGAACGGCAGCAUGAUCUAGCUUGCUAGAUUGAUGGCGAGUGGCGAACGGGUGAGUAAUACAUCGGAACGUGCCCUGUAGUGGGGAUAACUAGUCGAAAGAUUAGCUAAUACCGCAUACGACCUGAGGGUGAAAGUGGGGGACCGCAAGGCCUCAUGCUAUAGGAGCGGCCGAUGUCUGAUUAGCUAGUUGGUGGGGUAAAGGCCCACCAAGGCGACGAUCAGUAGCUGGUCUGAGAGGACGAUCAGCCACACUGGGACUGAGACACGGCCCAGACUCCUACGGGAGGCAGCAGUGGGGAAUUUUGGACAAUGGGCGAAAGCCUGAUCCAGCAAUGCCGCGUGUGUGAAGAAGGCCU
rnacentral:rRNA from 1 species